rnacentral:rRNA from 1 species
UAGAGUUUGAUCCUGGCUCAGAUUGAACGCUGGCGGCAUGCCUUACACAUGCAAGUCGGACGGCAGCGCGGGAGCAAUCCUGGCGGCGAGUGGCGAACGGGUGAGUAAUACAUCGGAACAUGUCCAGUAGUGGGGGAUAGCCCGGCGAAAGCCGGAUUAAUACCGCAUACGAUCUAUGGAUGAAAGCGGGGGAUCGCAAGACCUCGCGCUAUUGGGGUGGCCGAUGGCGGAUUAGCUAGUUGGUGGGGUAAAGGCCUACCAAGGCGACGAUCCGUAGCUGGUCUGAGAGGACGACCAGCCCCUGGGACUGAGACACGGCCCAGACUCCUACGGGAGGCAGCAGUGGGGAAUUUUGGACAAUGGGGGCAACCCUGAUCCAGCAAUGCCGCGUGUGUGAAGAAGGCCUUCGGGUUGUAAAGCACUUUUGUCCGGGAAGAAAUCCCCUGCCCUAAUACGGCGGGGGGAUGACGGUACCGGAAGAAUAAGCACCGGCUAACUACGUGCCAGCAGCCGCGGUAA